rnacentral:rRNA from 1 species
AACGAACGCUGGCGGCGUGCCUAACACAUGCAAGUCGAACGAGAAAGGGAUUUCGGUCCUGAGUAAAGUGGCGCACGGGUGAGUAACACGUAGGUAACCUACCUCUAAGUUUGGGAUAACCUGUCGAAAGAUGAGCUAAUACUGAAUAAGACCACAGUUUCCUCGGAAGCAGAGGUCAAAGGUAGCCUCUAUUUAUAAGCUAUCACUCAGAGAUGGGCCUGCGUACCAUAGCUAGUUGGUGAGGUAACGGCUCACCAAGGCAAAGAUGGUUAGCUGGUCUGAGAGGAUGAUCAGCCACACUGGAACUGAGACACGGUCCAGACUCCUACGGGAGGCAGCAGUGGGGAAUAUUGCGCAAUGGGCGAAAGCCUGACGCAGCAACG